rnacentral:rRNA from 1 species
UACGUAGGGUGCAGGCGUUAAUCGGAAUUACUGGGCGUAAAGCGUGCGCAGGCGGUCUGCUAAGACAGGUGUGAAAUCCCCGAGCUUAACCUGGGAACUGCGCUUGUUACUGGCAGGCUGGAGUGUGGCAGAGGGGGGUGGAAUUCCACGUGUAGCAGUGAAAUGCGUAGAGAUGUGGAGGAACACCGAUGGCGAAGGCAGCCCCCUGGGCUAACACUGACGCUCAUGCACGAAAGCGUGGGGAGCAAACAGG